rnacentral:rRNA from 1 species
GAUCCUGGCUUAGAACGAACGCUGGCGGCGCGUCUAAGCAUGCAAGUCGAACGGCAAGAGGUAGCAAUACCUCCUAGAGUGGCGGACUGGUGAGUAACACGUGGGUGACAUACCCUUCAGAUGGGGAUAGCUAUUAGAAAUAGUAGAUAAUACCGAAUACGAGCACAGGGGUUAGAGAUCUGUGAGGAAAGGAGCUAAGGCUCCGCUGAAGGAAUGGCCUGCGGCCCAUUAGCUAGUUGGUGAGGUAAGAGCCCACCAAGGCGAUGAUGGGUAUCCGGCCUUAGAGGGUGAACGGACACAUUGGGACUGAGAUACGGCCCAGACUCCUACGGGAGGCAGCAGCUAAGAAUAUUCCGCAAUGGACGAAAGUCUGACGGAGCGACGCCGCGUGGAUGAAGAAGGCCGGAAGGUUGUAAAAUCCUUUUGAAACUGAAGAAUAAGCGUUGUAGGGAAUGACAGCGUGGUGACAGUAGGUUUUGAAUAAGCAAUGGCUAAUUACGUGCCAGCCGCCGC